AUUGAACGCUGGCGGCAGGCCUAACACAUGCAAGUCGAGCGAGCGGCGGACGGGUGAGUAAUGUAUGGGGAUCUGCCCGAUGGAGGGGGAUAACUACUGGAAACGGUAGCUAAUACCGCAUACUAUCAGAUGAACCCAUAUUGGAUUAGCUUAUAGGUGAGGUAAAGGCUCACCUAGGCGACGAUCCCUUGCUGGUCUGAGAGGAUGAUCAGCCACACUGGGACUGAGACACUGCCGAGACUCCUACGGGAGGCAGCAGUGGGGAAUAUUGCACAAUGGGCGCAAGCCUGAUGCAGCCAUGCCGCGUGUAUGAAGAAGGCCUUCGGGUUGUAAAGUACUUUCAGACGGGAGGCGUUACCGACAGAAGAAGCACCGGCUAACUCCGUGCCAGCAGCCGCGGUAAUUC
rnacentral:rRNA from 1 species